rnacentral:rRNA from 1 species
UACGUAGGGGGCAAGCGUUGUCCGGAUUUACUGGGCGUAAAGAGCGUGUAGGCGGCCAUGCAGGUCCGUUGUGAAAACUGGAGGCUUAACCUCCAGACGUCGACGGAAACCGCGUGGCUAGAGUCCGGAAGAGGAGAGUGGAAUUCCUGGUGUAGCGGUGAAAUGCGCAGAUAUCGGGAAGAACACCCGUGGCGAAGGCGGUUCUCUGGGACGGUACUGACGCUGAGACGCGAAAGCGUGGGGAGCGAACAGG